rnacentral:lncRNA from 1 species
UCCCGGAACGGGAGCGAGGGGUGAUGCCGGCACGGGGGAGAGAUGAGGAGGGGAGAAGAAGGGAGGAAAAAGAGAGAGGGAAAAGCGGGAGAAACAGUGAAAAUAAGGAGAGGAAAAAAGAGAGGGAAAAGCGGGGGAAAGAGAGAGGUGGAAGCCAGGGAAGGAGAGAAAAAGAGAGAGCUAGAGAAAGAGAGAGGAAAAAGGGACAUAAAAAGGGGAGGAGAGAAAUAGAGAGAGGAAAAAGGAGAGAAGGAGGGAAAAAGAGAGAAAUAAGGAAAAAAGGAGAGAAGGAGAGAAAAAUAAAGAAAAAAGGAGAGGAAAAAGGAGAGAAGGAGAGAAAAAUAAGGAAAAAAGGAGAGGAAAAAGGAGAGAAGGAGAGAAAAAUAAGGAAAAAAGGAGAGGAAAAAAUGUGAGAAGGAGAGAAAAAUAAGGAAAAAAGGAGAGGAAAAAGGAGAGAAGGAGAGAAAAAUAAGGAAAAAAUGAGAGGAAGAAGGAGAGAAAAAGAGAGAAAUAAGGAAAAAAGGAGAGGAAAAAGGGCAAAUGAGAACAAAAGCAGAAGAAAAGAGGAAAAAGAAAAAGGAGAAAAAGAGAAAUAGUGGGAAGAAAAAAGGGGAAAGGAGAGAAAAAGCAGAAGAGGAAAAAGAAACAGGAAAAAAGAAAUAGAGGGAGGAAAAAAGAAAAUAAAAGGAGGAAAAAUGAGAAAAAGGGAAAGAUG